GCCUUGCUGAUGAGUGCCAACUAGGACGAAACUUAGGUCCAAGGC
rfam:Trichobilharzia regenti genome assembly, scaffold: TRE_scaffold0000685